rnacentral:rRNA from 1 species
UACGGGGGGGGCAAGCGUUGUUCGGAAUUACUGGGCGUAAAGGGCUCGUAGGUGGCCAACUAAGUCAGACGUGAAAUCCCUCGGCUUAACCGGGGAACUGCGUCCGAUACUGGAUGACUUGAGUUCGGGAGAGGGAUGCGGAAUUCCUGGUGUAGCAGUGAAAUGCGUAGAUAUCAGGAGGAAUACCGAUGGCGAAGGCAGGUCUCUGGGCUGACACUGACGCUCAUGCACGAAAGCGUGGGGAGCAAACAGG